rnacentral:rRNA from 1 species
UACGGAGGCAGAAAGCGUUGUUCGGAAUUACUGGGCGUAAAGGGUGCGUAGGCGGUGUUCUAAGUUUGGUGUGAAAUAUCCGAGCUUAACUGGGAGAGUGCGUCUAAGACUGGGGUGCUGGAGUGCGGGAGAGGAAAGCGGAAUUUCUGGUGUAGCGGUGAAAUGCAUAGAGAUCAGGAGGAACACCUGCGGUGUAGGCGGCUUUCUGGACCGUAACUGACGCUGAGGCACGAAAGCGUGGGUAGCAAACAGG